AAAAAGAUAAGCUAAUUAAGCUUAUGGGUUCAUACCCCAUCUAUAAAGGCCCUCAUCCUUUUCUUUUUA
rnacentral:tRNA from 1 species